rnacentral:RNase_MRP_RNA from 1 species
UACCUAUGGCAUGAAGAGGAUGGAUCAUCGGAUGAUUCAGGAAAGUCCCCGGGCCACGUCGCAGAAAAUGCGUCUCUCUCAUUUUCAUAAGAUGGAGAAAGGGAGAGAAUUUUAUGAUUCUCAUUUCUUCGGGUUACGAGGCUGAGACCAGUGUGGAGCCGACGAAAUAACCUUGACGGGAUGAAUUAUGAAUUUGGCCGAGAAAUAACAGUCACUCUCUCUAGCCCAGUUAGAGUCUGGGUUACAACAGAACGGGGCUUACUAUUCCAUAGGU